UACCUAACUGGGUUAGGGCCCUGGCUCCAUCUCCUUUAGGAAAACCUUCUGUGGGGAGUGGGGCUUCGACCCUAACCCAGGUGGGCU
rfam:Macaca mulatta chromosome 9, whole genome shotgun sequence.